rnacentral:rRNA from 1 species
GAUUAAGUUAUUAAGGGCGCACGGUGGAUGCCUUGGCACUAGAAGCCGAUGAAGGACGUUACUAACGACGAUAUGCUUUGGGGAGCUGUAAGUAAGCUUUGAUCCAGAGAUUUCCGAAUGGGGAAACCCAGCAUGAGUUAUGUCAUGUUAUCGAUAUGUGAAUACAUAGCAUAUCAGAAGGCACACCCGGAGAACUGAAACAUCUUAGUACCCGGAGGAAGAGAAAGAAAAUUCGAUUCCCUUAGUAGCGGCGAGCGAAACGGGAAGAGCCCAAACCAACAAGCUUGCUUGUUGGGGUUGUAGGACACUCUGUACAGAGUUACAAAGGACGACAUUAGACGAAUCAUCUGGAAAGAUGAAUCAAAGAAGGUAAUAAUCCUGUAGUCGAAAAUGUUGUCUCUCUUGAGUGGAUCCUGAGUACGACGGAGCACGUGAAAUUCCGUCGGAAUCUGGGAGGACCAUCUCCUAAGGCUAAAUACUCUCUAGUGACCGAUAGUGAACCAGUACCGUGAGGGAAAGGUGAAAAGCACCCCGGAAGGGGAGUGAAAUAGAACCUGAAACCGUGUGCUUACAAGUAGUCAGAGCCCGUUAAUGGGUGAUGGCGUGCCUUUUGUAGAAUGAACCGGCGAGUUACGAUUUGAUGCAAGGUUAAGCAGUAAAUGUGGAGCCGUAGCGAAAGCGAGUCUGAAUAGGGCGUUUAGUAUUUGGUCGUAGACCCGAAACCAGGUGAUCUACCCUUGGUCAGGUUGAAGUUCAGGUAACACUGAAUGGAGGACCGAACCGACUUACGUUGAAAAGUGAGCGGAUGAACUGAGGGUAGCGGAGAAAUUCCAAUCGAACCUGGAGAUAGCUGGUUCUCUCCGAAAUAGCUUUAGGGCUAGCCUCAAGUGAUGAUUAUUGGAGGUAGAGCACUGUUUGGACGAGGGGCCCCUCUCGGGUUACCGAAUUCAGACAAACUCCGAAUGCCAAUUAAUUUAACUUGGGAGUCAGAACAUGGGUGAUAAGGUCCGUGUUCGAAAGGGAAACAGCCCAGACCACCAGCUAAGGUCCCAAAAUAUAUGUUAAGUGGAAAAGGAUGUGGCGUUGCCCAGACAACUAGGAUGUUGGCUUAGAAGCAGCCAUCAUUUAAAGAGUGCGUAAUAGCUCACUAGUCGAGUGACACUGCGCCGAAAAUGUACCGGGGCUAAACAUAUUACCGAAGCUGUGGAUUGUCCUUUGGACAAUGGUAGGAGAGCGUUCUAAGGGCGUUGAAGCAUGAUCGUAAGGACAUGUGGAGCGCUUAGAAGUGAGAAUGCCGGUGUGAGUAGCGAAAGACGGGUGAGAAUCCCGUCCACCGAUUGACUAAGGUUUCCAGAGGAAGGCUCGUCCGCUCUGGGUUAGUCGGGUCCUAAGCUGAGGCCGACAGGCGUAGGCGAUGGAUAACAGGUUGAUAUUCCUGUACCACCUAUAAUCGUUUUAAUCGAUGGGGGGACGCAGUAGGAUAGGCGAAGCGUGCGAUUGGAUUGCACGUCUAAGCAGUAAGGUUGAGUAUUAGGCAAAUCCGGUACUCGUUAAGGCUGAGCUGUGAUGGGGAGAAGACAUUGUGUCUUCGAGUCGUUGAUUUCACACUGCCGAGAAAAGCCUCUAGAUAGAAAAUAGGUGCCCGUACCGCAAACCGACACAGGUAGUCAAGAUGAGAAUUCUAAGGUGAGCGAGCGAACUCUCGUUAAGGAACUCGGCAAAAUGACCCCGUAACUUCGGGAGAAGGGGUGCUCUUUAGGGUUAACGCCCAGAAGAGCCGCAGUGAAUAGGCCCAAGCGACUGUUUAUCAAAAACACAGGUCUCUGCUAAACCGUAAGGUGAUGUAUAGGGGCUGACGCCUGCCCGGUGCUGGAAGGUUAAGAGGAGUGGUUAGCUUCUGCGAAGCUACGAAUCGAAGCCCCAGUAAACGGCGGCCGUAACUAUAACGGUCCUAAGGUAGCGAAAUUCCUUGUCGGGUAAGUUCCGACCCGCACGAAAGGCGUAACGAUUUGGGCACUGUCUCAACGAGAGACUCGGUGAAAUCAUAGUACCUGUGAAGAUGCAGGUUACCCGCGACAGGACGGAAAGACCCCGUGGAGCUUUACUGUAGCCUGAUAUUGAAAUUCGGCACAGCUUGUACAGGAUAGGUAGGAGCCUUUGAAACGUGAGCGCUAGCUUACGUGGAGGCGCUGGUGGGAUACUACCCUAGCUGUGUUGGCUUUCUAACCCGCACCACUUAUCGUGGUGGGAGACAGUGUCAGGCGGGCAGUUUGACUGGGGCGGUCGCCUCCUAAAAGGUAACGGAGGCGCUCAAAGGUUCCCUCAGAAUGGUUGGAAAUCAUUCAUAGAGUGUAAAGGCAUAAGGGAGCUUGACUGCGAGACCUACAAGUCGAGCAGGGUCGAAAGACGGACUUAGUGAUCCGGUGGUUCCGCAUGGAAGGGCCAUCGCUCAACGGAUAAAAGCUACCCCGGGGAUAACAGGCUUAUCUCCCCCAAGAGUUCACAUCGACGGGGAGGUUUGGCACCUCGAUGUCGGCUCAUCGCAUCCUGGGGCUGUAGUCGGUCCCAAGGGUUGGGCUGUUCGCCCAUUAAAGCGGUACGCGAGCUGGGUUCAGAACGUCGUGAGACAGUUCGGUCCCUAUCCGUCGUGGGCGUAGGAAAUUUGAGAGGAGCUGUCCUUAGUACGAGAGGACCGGGAUGGACAUACCUCUGGUGUACCAGUUGUCGUGCCAACGGCAUAGCUGGGUAGCUAUGUGUGGACGGGAUAAGUGCUGAAAGCAUCUAAGCAUGAAGCCCCCCUCAAGAUGAGAUUUCCCAACUUCGGUUAUAAGAUCCCUCAAAGAUGAUGAGGUUAAUAGGUUCGAGGUGGAAGCAUGGUGACAUGUGGAGCUGACGAAUACUAAUCGAUCGAAGACUUAAUCAA